AGCAGCGUGGCUUAGUGGAAAAAGCACGGACCUGGGAAUCGAGGACCUGGGUUCUAAUCCUGGUUCUGCCA
rnacentral:tRNA from 1 species